UACGUAGGGGGCUAGCGUUGUCCGGAUUUAUUGGGCGUAAAGAGCGUGUAGGCGGCCAGGUAGGUCCGUUGUGAAAACUCGAGGCUCAACCUCGAGACGUCGGCGGAAACCCUCUGGCUAGAGUCCGGAAGAGGAGAGUGGAAUUCCUGGUGUAGCGGUGAAAUGCGCAGAUAUCAGGAAGAACACCCGUGGCGAAGGCGGCUCUCUGGGACGGUACUGACGCUGAGACGCGAAAAGCGUGGGGGAGCAAACAGG
rnacentral:rRNA from 1 species